rnacentral:rRNA from 1 species
GACGUACGCCGGCGGCGUGCUUAACACAUGCAAGUCGAACGGAAAGGCCCUGCUUUUGUGGGGUGCUCGAGUGGCGAACGGGUGAGUAACACGUGAGUAACCUGCCCUUGACUUUGGGAUAACUUCAGGAAACUGGGGCUAAUACCGGAUAGGAGCUCCUGCUGCAUGGUGGGGGUUGGAAAGUUUCGGCGGUUGGGGAUGGACUCGCGGCUUAUCAGCUUGUUGGUGGGGUAGUGGCUUACCAAGGCUUUGACGGGUAGCCGGCCUGAGAGGGUGACCGGCCACAUUGGGACUGAGCUACGGCCCAGACUCCUACGGGAGGCAGCACUGGGGAAUAUUGCACAAUGGGCGGAAGCCUGAUGCAGCAACGCCGCGUGCGGGAUGACGGCCUUCGGGUUGUCAACCGCUUUCGCCUGUGACGAAGCGUGAGUGACGGUAAUGGGUAAAGAAGCACCGGCUAACUACGUG